UUUAUUUUAUUUUAAACGAACUAAGACUUUUGUUUCGACCUUGAGUGUCCUCUACUCAGCAUUCUCACGCGGGACAAGAUGGCUGACGCUCUUGCUCGGUCUUGCGUCUCUGUCGCAAAACUUUUGAUAAUUUC